UGGUGGAGUGAUUUGUCUGGUUAAUUCCGAUAACGAACGAGACCUCAGCCUGCUAACUAGUGGGUUCAACCUUCUGCAUGGGUGAAUCUUUAAUUGGGUGGGAUCUUUGUAUUUCAUUCAAUUAAAGUGGAUCCUUGACGAGUUGGAUCUCUUAUUUUUACUUCUUAGAGGGACUAUUCGCGUCUAGCGAGUGGAAGUUUGAGGCAAUAACA
rnacentral:rRNA from 1 species